AGCAGUGUAGCAUAGUGGUUAAGGAGCAGGACUCAUAACCAAAAGGUUGCUGGUUCGAUCCCCGCUAGGACACUGCUG
rnacentral:tRNA from 1 species